rnacentral:rRNA from 1 species
ACGUGGGUCACCUACCUCGAUGACCGGGACAACCCGAGGAAACUCGGGCUAAUACCGGAUGUGCACUUCGGUGGAAAGGUAGCUUCGGCUUCCGCAUCGAGAUGGGCCCGCGGCGCAUUAGCUUGUUGGUGGGGUAACGGCCUACCAAGGCGACGAUGCGUAGCUGGUCUGAGAGGACGAUCAGCCACACUGGGACUGAGACACGGCCCAGACUCCUACGGGAGGCAGCAGUGGGGAAUCUUGCGCAAUGCGCGAAAGCGUGACGCAGCAACGCCGCGUGGGGGAAGAAGGCCUCGGUGU